rnacentral:lncRNA from 7 species
ACAGAUAUGCAAAUCCUUCAACUUUUAACAUACAGUUACGGAAUCAAUGAGAUGACUGUCUCUAGACAUAUCUGCGUCUCCACAUUGAGCAUGGAAGAAGCUGAAGCACUACUUAGAUUGGAUGUCUAGAUUUUACAUGGCUGAAGUCAGUGCCAAUGUGAAAGAAAAGGCCUUUAUAAAUCUUGGCUAUGGAAGGAAAAUGAAGAUAAAUCAUUUCCCAUCAACGCUGUGCUAUAUAUUGGCUAUUGCAUUCCCAAGGAAUCUGGUGUUCUGAGUUUGUUCUGACCUUGUCUUCUCUUCAGCCGAGCAUUAUCUCCACAGAAAUAUUUGGAGGGAGGAGUCUUUUCUAACAUUAGUUGCUCAGAAGAAAUAUAUUCCUGAUCCUCAGACUGCUACAUUUCUUGACCUCCCAGAGGUAACAUGGCAAUGAUGCCGAAGCAAUGCGAGAAGAGAUGGCCGACAAGGGGAGGAGUAGAUGUCUCUAAAACCAAGAUGGAUCUUCAGAAAAUGAAAACAGAGUAAUUGUUUACUUUCUUCUAAUAUAAGAACGGGAAAGUAGAAAACAUUGGAAAACCAAAGAUAAAGGCAGGGGCGUGAGGUGGGAUUAGUUCUUCACAGAGCAUGAAGUUAAGCUGUGGAAAUGCUUGACAUGGGAAAUUAUGGAAAAUAAAGCUGUACAAGAGCUUAAAAAGUUUUGGGAAAACCAUAGCAAAAACAUCUGUCAAGGAAUGUUAAUCACACAAGCAGAGGAACACUCCUGAACCACACUAUGCUAAAGCCAGAGGGAUAUUGCGUGGAAAUACCUCUACAUCUGCUCUCAGGUCCAUUAUCCUUCACAUCCAGUAUUGGCUGGCUUUGGAAAAAGGGGUGGACCUUUGGCCUGCCUGUUUUUAUGUCAAUGCAUGGGAUGAGACCUGCUGGGGCAAUGUCUGCAUCUCUUGAUCUGGGAAUGGGUAUGACUACAGAAUUCAUAUGUUCUUCCAAAAAUUAUUCUUGUGUUCAUCCCCAGAUGUCUGGCACUAUAUGUUGCCUACCCAGCAAGCCAAUGGUAGAAGAGCAGGCCGUGUCUCAGGUUCACAUGGUAGCUUCCUUCCAUCUUUCUUGAUCCUGUCAGUGCCACAUCCUGUUUUCAGCUGCACAGUGACUCAAAAAUCCCUUCUGACAACCCUUCAAGGCUGUGGUCCAGAUCCCCAGCAUUUAAUAAUCAUACUUUCCAAAUUGUGGAUAAAGAAAGAACAAAGUGAAAUCUGCUCUCUGAGUGCAGCUGCGCAUAUAAUAGAGGGUUUUUACAACCUAACCCCAGUGGGACAUUGCAAACCCUGGUUGACUCAACAAGCCAGAAGAUAUUCUGGAGAGAGUACAGUUCUGGUAUACAACCCAUCUGGAUCAACACAGAAGGAAACAAGGCAGAUGAGAAGAAAUAUGUGGGACAUGCUUAGAGGAUGAAGGCAUUAAAAUGGACCAUAACAGGACUGCGGCAAAUUUCCCAGUAAUACAGCAUCAUGAAAAUGAAAUCCUUCUUGAAAGAGAGUAGAGCAUAGGGUUGGUUUGCUAAGGGUAUAUGUAUGCUGGGGAGAGGUCCAGAUGAGUGACUUUGCAAUGCCUGAAAUCAGACAUCUGUUAAGUAUUGUACAUGACAAACUCUUUGCAGAGUUCAGGAGGUCACUAGAAAUGGUUCAACAUAAUAAAUUUAAUGAGACAAUAAAAAUAAUUAGAAAUG